ensembl:lncRNA
AGUUUGAAAAGUUCAUGACAGCUCACAGCUCACGAUGGUGGCAAUCUUAAGGAUACAGAAAGCUCAUUCCUCAUGCAGGGAAGAAGAAAAUAUUCUAAAGAAGAGAUAAGCAUAUUCCGCGAAAUCAAAAAAGGCUGUUCUUAUUGUUGUGAUACCUUGGGGAACACAAAUGGAGUUGAGUGGGUCCCAGAGGAAAAGCCUACCCAGAACCUGCUCAAUGCUAGAAGCUCGGCAACUGCUAACAACCAGCUGGAGGGGUUUGGCCUGAAGAACGCAUCCUCCAUAAAUCCCUUGUCCUCAGUUUCUGACUCAGGCUCUGCUUCUGGAGAACCCAACAUAAAAUGAAGAAAAUUUGAGUUCCUGACCAUACUUCGAUUUAUCACACCUAAUGAUUUCUAAUCUUCACAAUGACUCUUCGAGGUAGGGAUUAUUAAUCCCAUUUUGUGAAUUAUUAAGAUAGGUACACUGAGCUAGAUUCAGCAAAAAGGUAGGUCCCAGGAAGAUAGUUCAGAUAGAUACUGAACUGCUUCAGUAGUUCCUAAGGAGAAGCUGAUCAAGGCUGCCUUUAGUAGGAAGGUACUUGGGGACCCAACUCCAGGGCCCUAGGCUCUAACUUCCCACAAACCGAUCCCUUCAGAGGGAAGGCAGAGGUGAGAGGACAGAAACUGUAUCUUUUUUCAAUCCAUGUUAUAUGGUCACUGUUCUAAAUCUCUGAAAAUUAAUCUUAGUCAUUCCCGAUACCUGGCAGGUGGAAUACGUUAAAUAUGUUUUCAAAUUAACAUAUACCUAAGGAGUCCAGGGUCUAGAUCGCAGUGCAGUUUCUCUCAGUUUGGAGUCUUCAUUAUGUGUCUGUUUCCCUGGAGCUAGGAUUCAUCCCUGUAGUGAGCCUUCUGACUGCAGCUGAUAGCAUUCCUCUAUCUCACCUUCCGAUGGGGUGGUUCAAGACCAGUGGUAGAUUCAUAAGUACACAAGCCUGGACAUCUGAAUGAGUUGGGACUUUCUGGAUCAAUUGUCCAGGCUUGAGGUAAGCUUUCAAGUGACUAACAAACAUGGCAAGCUUGUGCUGCAUGGGAACCUACUGACCAGAUGGAAGAAAACUUAAUUGAACACAGAGUCGAUUUUCAAAGUUUAGAAUAUGGUGUGUUGAGAUACAUUUGUUAGCCUUCUCCUUUCUGCUAGGGGAUGCUGUUGAGGAAGCAUUGUCAAAGUCUCUCUUCCCACUGCUGUCGUGUCUCAGUCGGAGUCUCCUAAACAGCCUGAAUGGCUGUGGAAGCUCCUCAUUGGAGGGUUGAGCUUUGAAACGAAUGCUGAGAGCCUGAGGAGCCAUUUUGAGCAAUGGGGAACACUCCCGAACUGUGUGGAAGUGAGAUCCAAACACCAAGCGCUCCAGGGCCUUUGGGGUUGUCACAAAUGCCACUGUGGAGGAGGCAGAUGCUGCCAUGCAUACAAGGCCACACAUGGAGAUGGAAGAAUUAUACAACCAAAGAGUUGUCUCAGGAGAAGAUUCUCAGAGACCAAGUGCCCACUUAGCUGUGAAGAAGAUAUUUGUUGGUGGCAUUAAAGAAGACACUGAAGAACACCACCUAAGAGAUUAUUUUGAACAGCAUGGGAAAAUUGAAGUGAUUGAAACCAUGACUGACCAAGGCAGUGGCAAGUAAAAGGGCUUUGCUUUUGUCACCUUUGAUGAUCAUGACUCCA